GUGCCCGCAACCGCGGUAAUACGACGGGGGCUAGUGUUUUUCGGAAUCACUGUGCGUACAGGGUCCGUAGGCGGCUUUGUAGUCGGGGGUGAAAGCCUGUGGCUCUACCACAGAAUUGCCUUCGAUACUGCAUGGCUUGAGACCGGAAGAGGUUAGUGGAACUGCGAGUGUAGAGGUGAAAUUCGUAGAUAUUCGCAAGAACACCAGUGGCGAAGGCGGCUGACUGGUCCGGAUCUGACGCUGAGGCGCGAAAGCGUGGGGAGCAAACAGGAUUAGAUACCCUGGUAGUCC
rnacentral:rRNA from 1 species